GCUGAAGUAAUAAAGAUCCACAAGUUGGCUCUGCCAUCUGCUAUCUGUUUAUGAGACAUAUAUAAAUGUUCAUAAAAAAGAUUAACACAAUCGGAUGAUGAUUUAGGGUUUUCGCGCACUUUUGAGGUCAGAGUUAUUCGGGUGUCCCUGCUUUUGUGUCGAAAGAAAGAAAGGGAGAUUUAAGAAGAAAGAAAAUGCAGCGUGAUUGU
rnacentral:lncRNA from 1 species